rnacentral:rRNA from 1 species
UGGCGGCGUGCCUAAUACAUGCAAGUCGAACGGUCUUUCUAUGGAAGCUUGCUUCCACUGAGAAGAUAGUGGCGAACGGGUGAGUAACACGUGGGUAACCUGCCCAUAAGAGGGGGAUAACAUCCGGAAACGGGUGCUAAUACCGCAUAGUUUUCUUGAUCGCAUGAUCGGGAAAGGAAAGACGGCCUUUGUGCUGUCGCUUAUGGAUGGACCCGCGGCGUAUUAGUUAGUUGGUGAGGUAACGGCUCACCAAGACGAUGAUACGUAGCCGACCUGAGAGGGUGAUCGGCCACAUUGGGACUGAGACACGGCCCAAACUCCUACGGGAGGCAGCAGUAGGGAAUCUUCCGCAAUGGACGAAAGUCUGACGGAGCAACGCCGCGUGAGUGAAGAAGGUUUUUCCGGAUCGUAAAACUCUGUUGUCAGAGAAGAACAAGUUGGAGAGUAACUGCUCCAGCCUUGACGGUAUCUGACCAGAAAGCCACGGCUAACUACGUGCCAGCCGCAGC